rnacentral:rRNA from 2 species
AAAUUGAAGAGUUUGAUCAUGGCUCAGAUUGAACGCUGGCGGCAGGCCUAACACAUGCAAGUCGAACGGUAACAGGAAGCAGCUUGCUGCUUUGCUGACGAGUGGCGGACGGGUGAGUAAUGUCUGGGAAACUGCCCGAUGGAGGGGGAUAACUACUGGAAACGGUAGCUAAUACCGCAUAACGUCGCAAGACCAAAGAGGGGGACCUUAGGGCCUCUUGCCAUCGGAUGUGCCCAGAUGGGAUUAGCUAGUAGGUGGGGUAAAGGCUCACCUAGGCGACGAUCCCUAGCUGGUCUGAGAGGAUGACCAGCCACACUGGAACUGAGACACGGUCCAGACUCCUACGGGAGGCAGCAGUGGGGAAUAUUGCACAAUGGGCGCAAGCCUGAUGCAGCCAUGCCGCGUGUAUGAAGAAGGCCUUCGGGUUGUAAAGUACUUUCAGCGGGGAGGAAGGGAGUAAAGUUAAUACCUUUGCUCAUUGACGUUACCCGCAGAAGAAGCACCGGCUAACUCCGUGCCAGCAGCCGCGGUAAUACGGAGGGUGCAAGCGUUAAUCGGAAUUACUGGGCGUAAAGCGCACGCAGGCGGUUUGUUAAGUCAGAUGUGAAAUCCCCGGGCUCAACCUGGGAACUGCAUCUGAUACUGGCAAGCUUGAGUCUCGUAGAGGGGGGUAGAAUUCCAGGUGUAGCGGUGAAAUGCGUAGAGAUCUGGAGGAAUACCGGUGGCGAAGGCGGCCCCCUGGACGAAGACUGACGCUCAGGUGCGAAAGCGUGGGGAGCAAACAGGAUUAGAUACCCUGGUAGUCCACGCCGUAAACGAUGUCGACUUGGAGGUUGUGCCCUUGAGGCGUGGCUUCCGGAGCUAACGCGUUAAGUCGACCGCCUGGGGAGUACGGCCGCAAGGUUAAAACUCAAAUGAAUUGACGGGGGCCCGCACAAGCGGUGGAGCAUGUGGUUUAAUUCGAUGCAACGCGAAGAACCUUACCUGGUCUUGACAUCCACGGAAGUUUUCAGAGAUGAGAAUGUGCCUUCGGGAACCGUGAGACAGGUGCUGCAUGGCUGUCGUCAGCUCGUGUUGUGAAAUGUUGGGUUAAGUCCCGCAACGAGCGCAACCCUUAUCCUUUGUUGCCAGCGGUCCGGCCGGGAACUCAAAGGAGACUGCCAGUGAUAAACUGGAGGAAGGUGGGGAUGACGUCAAGUCAUCAUGGCCCUUACGACCAGGGCUACACACGUGCUACAAUGGCGCAUACAAAGAGAAGCGACCUCGCGAGAGCAAGCGGACCUCAUAAAGUGCGUCGUAGUCCGGAUUGGAGUCUGCAACUCGACUCCAUGAAGUCGGAAUCGCUAGUAAUCGUGGAUCAGAAUGCCACGGUGAAUACGUUCCCGGGCCUUGUACACACCGCCCGUCACACCAUGGGAGUGGGUUGCAAAAGAAGUAGGUAGCUUAACCUUCGGGAGGGCGCUUACCACUUUGUGAUUCAUGACUGGGGUGAAGUCGUAACAAGGUAACCGUAGGGGAACCUGCGGUUGGAUCACCUCCUUACCUUA